GGAAAAGAAACUAACAAGGAUUCCCCUAGUAACUGCGAGUGAAGCGGGAAAAGCUCAAAUUUAAAAUCUGGCGGUCUUUGGCCGUCCGAGUUGUAGUCUGGAGAAGCGUCUUCCGCGUUGGACCGUGUACAAGUUUCCUGGAACGGAGCGUCAUAGAGGGUGAGAAUCCCGUCUUUGACACGGACCCCAAUGCUUUGUGAUGCGCUCUCAAAGAGUCGAGUUGUUUGGGAAUGCAGCUCAAAAUGGGUGGUGAAUUCCAUCUAAAGCUAAAUAUUGGCGAGAGACCGAUAGCGAACAAGUACCGUGAGGGAAAGAUGAAAAGCACUUUGGAAAGAGAGUUAAACAGUACGUGAAAUUGUUGAAAGGGAAACGCUUGAAGUCAGUCGCGUCGGCCGGGACUCAGCCUUGCAUUCUUGCUCGGUGUACUUUCCGGUCGACGGGCCAGCAUCAAUUUUGACCGCGGGAUAAAGGUGGGGGAAAUGUGGCUCUUCGGAGUGUUAUAGUCCUUCGUCGCAUGUCGCGGUCGGGAUUGAGGAACUCAGCACGCCUUUAUGGCCGGGGUUCGCCCACGUACGUGCUUAGGAUGCUGGCGUAAUGGCUUUAAACGACCCGUCUUGAAACACGGACCAAGGAGUCUAACAUGCCUGCGAGUGUUCGGGUGGAAAACCCGUGCGCGCAAUGAAAGUGAAAGUUGGGAUCCCUGUCGUGGGGUGCACCGACGCCCGGACCAGACCUUUUGUGACGGAUCUGCGGUAGAGCAUGUAUGUUGGGACCCGAAAGAUGGUGAACUAUGCCUGAAUAGGGUGAAGCCAGAGGAAACUCUGGUGGAGGCUCGUAGCGAUUCUGACGUGCAAAUCGAUCGUCAAAUUUGGGUAUAGGGGCGAAAGACUAAUCGAACCAUCUAGUAGCUGGU
rnacentral:rRNA from 1 species